GGACUACCCGGGUAUCUAAUCCCGUUUGCUCCCCUGGCUUUCGUGCCUGAGCGUCAGUCAAGGACCAGGUCGCCGCCUUCGCCACCGGUGUUCUUCCCAAUAUCUACGAAUUUCACCUCUACACUGGGAAUUCCACGACCCUCUUCCAAACUCUAGUCCACACGUAUCAAAUGCAGCCCCCAGGUUGAGCCCAGGAAUUUCACAUCUGACUGUGCAAACCGCCUACGCGCCCUUUACGCCCAGUCAUUCCGAGCAACGCUAGCCCCCUUCGUAUUACCGCGGCUGCUGGCAC
rnacentral:rRNA from 1 species